CGCGGCGCCCCGGAGCGUACCCCGUCUGCAAAGCACACCCGCGCCGAUGCGUGCGAGCAGCGGCGUGACUGGCGGGCUGCAGCGCGGGGGGUGGGGGGGAGGGGGGCAUCCUGGCCUCGGGGAUAACGAUUUGGGAACCGGCUUCCAGCACCCUUUGCCCCCCCACCCCCACCCCGGUUCCGCCGCUUUGCCUCCCUCCUGCCCAACGCCGCCCACCCCCGGGGGGGGGGGGGUGAGGAGAGACGACUGGGCGCCCGAAGCCCGAGCGUUCCCUCCAGCGACUCCGGCGCCGCGGGGCCUACGCCCGCCCUCGGUGGGCUCCGCUCGCGGUCCCCCCGGGCGCGCGCAGGGACAGCCACCAACUCCGCACCUCAGUUUGUAAAACCACCUGGCGACGUGCGCACCCUGGGGCCGCCGUCCCCGCCCGCGUGCAAACUCCGCGCCCCUCUUCCAGGUUCCCUCCGAGUCUCCCCGCCCCCAGCCAGGUGCCGGCCUCCCGGCUGUCCCCGCUCUUCUGCCGUCCAGCAGCUGCUCUCCCGCGACGUCGCCCUGCAGAAUAUGGGCAGCGCUGAGUGGGGCUGUGUUUUGUAAAUUAGGCAACACUGGAGACACGCGGACGAGUACAGAAAAUAGUGUUGACGACACCCACGCCCCCCACUCGAGAUUAAACCUAAAACACUCUGCUCCACUUGCUUGGUAUUUAUUAAAGAAAGAUAAAUUUAGACCUAACUAAAGCCCCACCCUUAUUCUUUCUCUUUCCUCCCUAGUCGCUGUUGUGCGUAUCGUUCUACUCAUGUUUUUAUAGUUUUAUUACGUAUGAUACAUGAAUCUGCCAACUGCGCCGAGUACCAACUUCUGUUUUUUAGUUUUACAAAAAUGACAUCAUGCUGAAUAGUCUUUUGCAACCUUUGUCGUUUCCUAUUAUGUUUUUGAGAUUCGUUUAUGAUUUAACUGCUGUGUAGUAGUAUUUCAUUGUUUUCCUCGUGUCUCAGAGCAUAUAGCUGGAUUGCUUAGAAUUUUUAGUACGAGACUAUAUCUCUGCUAGCUAGAGUUUAGCUUGUUUUGUUAUGAUUGGAUUAAUUUUAAUUGUAACUGAAUUCUUCUGUUUUAUUUUGUGGUAUUUACCAUACUUUUUCUUCUUACUUUCUGCUUUCCUGUUAAUGUUGUCCGGGUUCAGGUUCAGAGAACAGAAUUCAUUCUGGAAACUUUAAGUACAAAAGGAUUUACUCUAGGGUAUAAAAUGGCUUAAGGAUUUCUCUGGAGGGUGAAGAUUCUAGGUUGGACAUUCAGGAGUGACUUUGGGAGCCACUUUGAGACUCUGAGAGCAGAACCAGGCCACCAGAAGAGCCACUGCCCCUUCUGAAAUCUGGAAGCUACUUACUGAAUUGGAAAGCUGUCCCUACAGCUGCCAGCUUCUGAACCUGUACAGCUAUUGUGAUGAUAAGACUCCACUGGAGCGAAAUCAGACCCCUCCCCGGCUGUCCUCACAAACAGAAACAGCACACACCCAGACCCUGCUGCACUUGCGCCUUACAAACCAAAUCAGAGAGAAAAUCUGAUUGGAAGAGCCAAAAUGGCGUCCAGAAUCCCAGCUUUCGAAAUACAGCAAGGCACAGUUGGACGUCGGAAUGGGUAUUGAACUAAUUCCACAAUGUUCGUCCACCGAUUCACCAAGGCAGUUGUCCACCAUAGCUCCCUUUUAUUGCCCCGAAUGACUGGUUUUUAUUUCCAUAUUUCUCCUAUCUGAUUUGGAAGAUAUCCUAUUCCAUUUCUAUCCUUAUUAUGGUUAGCCUGAUCAUUUUUAAUCCCUUAAUCAAAUAAAUACACGUGAGUUGUUUAGCAAUAGUUUAACAAGGCCCAUAAUUUUAAAAAGAAGCAAUUCCCAAUUCCCACUGGAAAUAAAUUUGCCCUGCUGUUUUGUGAUUUUUGUUUUCAGUUUUAGAUAUUAUUUACUUUCUGUUAUGGAAAAGGAUGCCCUGGCUAUUUUGUAUGCUCAACAAAAAUAUGAUCUUCCCUGCUCCCAUUCUUUCAAUGUGGUUAUAUGAUCAUUUUUGGUAAGUCACUAAGUGCUUACAUAGUGUACUAUAGUUCCAUUUUUAUACUUUUGGGGGGGGUAAUCACGGCCUCUGCUUUUUAUUUGCUUACAUUUCUAUCAACCCAUUGCAAACUCUUUCCCAAACUCUCCAACAGAGCAGUGGAAGACAUCACUGUGGGUGUGAAUGGUCAGCUGGGGGGGGAUCUUCUCUCCCGGAGUACUUUGAUCUCUUGUUCCGCCCGGACUGCUUGCUCUACGGGCCUACUGAGUGCUGUCGUGCUGGCCCUGUCCUCACCUCCAUCCCGUCAUCCCCCGUCCUCUGACCUGCUUCCUACACCCCGGGUUGUGGUCUGCUUCACAUCCUCCUUCAUUUUAGUGGAGAACAUUCUCCCAUAGUUUCCUGGUUGGGGGGGGGGGGAGAAAAAGAGUACAGAAAAGAUAAAAUCCUUGCAACCGAGUGUGUGUUCAUUUUACUCUCCUAUUUGAUUGACAGUUUGGCUAAGAAUAGUCUGGUUCGCGGGAAGUCUUGUUCACUUAGAUCUCUGAAUGUAUUGCUUCACUGUUUUCUCGCUUCUCAGGUUGCUUUUGAGAAGGCCACUCACAUUCUGUUUUCUUUGUGGCUGACCUGGUUUUUGAGGGCCGGUAUUGUUUGUUUAUUUUUGUUUUGUCUCCCUCCCCAUUCUCUGCAGGCUUAGUGUGCUGAUGUUUUAUGACGAUGUGCCUCGGUGUGGAGCUUUCGUUGUCCGCUGUGCAGGGCGGCGAUACGUGUGCAGAAACCGGACACCUCACCCUUCAGUUCUGAAAACCUGUCUUAUUGUUUGAGGUGAUGCCUGGAGCUCUGGAGCCGUCUUGCAACCAGGGAAAGAGAAAGCAUAAGAACAAAUUCAGCAUUCAGAAAGACAAAAAACAACUUUGCCAUUGUUGGAUAGCUUAACCAGCACCUAGUUUUCCUCUGGAUUUAUGUGAAAUAAAUUUGUUGAAAUCACUAGA